ensembl:lncRNA
UGAGGGUGGGGUAAGGAUGGUGAAUAGAAAGAGGCACAAGGGAACUUUUGGGGGGAUGGAAAUGUCCUCUAUUCCUGUUUGGGGGUGAUGGGUACAUGGGUGUAUACAUUUGUCAAAACUCACCAAACUCUAUACUUAAGAUGUUCGCACUUUUGCUGUGCAUAAAAUAUAUCUCAAUACAAGAGACUGAAAAGGGAUUGUGCAUGCGGGGUGCCCAGCAAGGGGCCAAACUUAUAGACAGAAGUCAGUAAAUGCCAACUACUAUCAGAAAACGGCAAAAACAAGUAAAAAGCGUAUAAAUUAUUCAGCUAUAUGUUGGGAGUUCAACAUGCUAGUCUGGACUAUGACCCUAGCUAGUUGGGUCCCUGCUCUGACACAUGGCAGAACUCAAUAAAAGAAACCCUAGGCUAGGUCUUCUGUGCCCUGCCCCCUCCCUUCCUAGUCUCUCUCCUGUAAACAGAGAAACAGGAAAGGUGUGUUGAGCUGGAUAAAGAAGCUGUUCUUAGGAGCAAUGGAGCAGAUGGAGGGGGUAACUUUGAAGGAGUAAAAAGAAACAGAAACCAUGAGCUCACCAAAGGUGGGCAAAGACCGUCUUCUAUGGAGUUGCCAAAACCUAUUUGAAAGAAAAACCUCCCACUGGGGCCUCCUGUAACCAAUUCCAUAAAUACAAAUUUACCAACCUCAGGAAAGACUUUUUUCCUUGUCUGCACAGUAUCUCUUCUCUACUCCGUGAACCUCCAGGGUCCCCUCUCCCAGGGCAACAUCCCUUGCCCUUCACGAAAUAAUUACAUCAAGCUUUCUAAUAGGUUGACAGAUAGCACCAUGUCAUCUCUACCUUUCAGCUUCCCUGCGGAAAUCCUCCUGUUUGAUCUGCAGAUCUGUGUAACGGAGGAGGAGAGAGGGAGGAAAAAAGCGAGAGCGGCUCUAUUCUGAUAUAUACGUACUUUUCCAGGCAUGCCCCCUGCCCUGUUGGGCAUAAUUGCCUGUUUAAUUACCUGUAUUCCCGGUGGCCUGAAAAUUCUGGGAGGACAGGGGCAAUGUUGAUCCUUACAUCCCCACACAUAGAACAGCUACCAGGAAGAGCAAGUCUCUGAUAAAUGUUUGCUGAAGGCCUGAGGAGAAGAGAGAGAGCAGCUGGGGAGAGAGAGUCUUACGUACAUACACCCCUCCUCAUCUCCAAGGGCCAGCUUCUCUCCGUCGAGCAAAUCCCUGGACAUUUUCUCUUGGCCUCAGAGGUCUUUUUAGAGUUCUUGGCCUUUCUUCUUAUGGGGGCCACAUGGAGGACAAGUUGGCAUAGAGUCUGCCACCUGGGGUUGGGGGGCUGGCCGUGCCUCUUCACCCACAUGGAUGUCUCCCACUUGCCCUCCCCUGGGGGCGCCGCAGAGUGAAGAUUGUUCUGUACCAGGCGGAGUCCUGGGUCUUUCACAACCAAUGUCUAUGGAACACGCCACCCCAAACCUGUAGAGGACACAUUCUUUUCAAGUUCACAUGCAUCGUUCCCCAAGACAGGCCAUAUGUUGAACCACGAGAUCACUCUCAAUACAUUUCAAAGGAGCGAAAUCACACAGAACAUGUUCUCUGAGGACGAUGGAAAUAAAUUAGAAGAGUAGAUACGUUCAAAAUCCCAAAUAUCUGAAGAAACUCUCUCAGUGCUUGACACAGUGUAGAUCCUCAACAAUUUCUGCCUCGACAUCCUUCUCUACCACAGUUACGAUCCCUCUGCUGCUGCUGAAAGUAAAGGCCGACCACCGGCCAAGGUUACGGCCACAGUCCCAGGCCUGGCACUUACUGCCCUGUCUGCACAGUGAGCUGGGACAAUGAGUCCACCUCGGAGCCCACCCUGAGUCCCUCAGCAUUCACCAGAUCCACACUGAGGCAGGAAGAUCUCCGCUAUGCUGCCAGAAUGGGGUCCCAGCCCACUCUCCACUCCAAGGAGCCCAGCCUUCUCGAGAUGUGGGGAGAGAGCUCAAUGGGGUGAUGGCUCUUGAUCUUUUUACUUAGAAUGUUCUCUGGCAGAUAAAAUCAAAUUCAUUUUGUUUAGGGAGUUUAGCCGAAACCCCUUGAGGAACAAAUGAAGGCAGCACACAGAAAUGCCUCCUUUCCUCUGCCUGCCAUUUUAGAGGGUCCCCAAGAGGCCAGGAAUACAGUCAACCAGAGAGAAACCCAACCAGCCAAGUCAUACGAGGGAGACGGAGACUGCCAUUGUCACAACCUUUGGACUAAAGAAUGAAGUGGAAACUGAAUUUCACUGAAGGCUGUGCUUGAGCUUUUCAAGGCCAAUAGUCUGAUCCAUGUGUUUGGUUCACAAUAUAAAUGGACAAUUGUGGUGCUGAUAAGUCACCACCCGGAAGAGCCCAAGGGUGGAAGUACCUGUUAUUGGCACAUGCUGUGUGUAAACCUUCUACUGAGACUAAGCUGGUUGCAGCAUCAUUUUCCUUCAAAUCAGGGUAAAGAUCUCCUAGAUAAGAAUGAGUUGGAAAUUAAGACCCAAAUUAAAGCACAUCUAAAGAGGUUGGUACGUGACAAAACCUCCUCAGAAUGCAGUCCAUGGAAGGUUUCCGCCGGGAUCCUGUCAAGAGAGGCGAGUUUUAAAAGGUCUAUGAAUCCUCUAGCUAGGGGAGAAAAGACAAGAGGCAGCAAAGACAGACAGCUAACAAGAAUAGCAUCACCUCCACCUCCACCACCAUUUCUUGGGAGGAGACAUCAUGGAAGCCACUGUUUUCAGUACUUCGGUAAGUUAUAAACUCAUUUGGAUAACGCACCGCAAGUCGUGAAGCUACAGGUCACCAGGGCGUGUACAUGCAACCAAAGCGAUUCCCAGCUGAAGUUCUGAAAUCUCUGGUUCAGUCAAAACGCAGUAGAGGCACCCUAGCGGCCCGAGCACACAAAGAUAAACGGGAAACAGAAAUUCAGAGACCAAAUUCAGAGAGUGGAGGUGAAGAAUCUACUUACGUUCUCACUCACCCACCUAGCAAGUCUUUCUUUUAUUAACUGCUUACGAGAGGCCAGGCGCUGGGGAUGCACAUAUGAAUAAAAUGAGACCUCUGACCUUUAAGAACUCCCAGUCUAGUCUCUUCAGAACCCUCUAUUUCCACACUGUGACACUUCUGCUAGUGGAAGGGCACGUUAACCGUCUAAGAGGCUGCAGCAACGGGCAUAACCUGGAAUUCUUUCAUCAACCCUGGUUGUGUGGCCACCUUAAGUCCCCCCAAUACAGUGCAGCUCCCUGAGAGCAGGAACCAUCCACACAAACCACAGGAUGAUAAUUCGCCCUCCCCCACCAUACUAGUUCACCUAAGCUGACUUUCGGGGUCAACGGAAUUUAUUUCUGACUCUACCUCCCACCCCCUCACAACCACAUCAAGUAUUUCAGAUCAAGUAUCUGUGAAUCAUAGGUCAAGCUGAUUCAUUUCUUAAAGUUUCCGGAUUAUGAAUGAAAAUGGUAUCGAUCACCUGGAUGAGGAUCAAAUACAGGGAGAGACAGCGCGACAGUCGAGACUGGCUCUGCAUUUACUUGCAACAAUGCCAACUAGAUUUCCAGCAUUUUAUUGAGACGAGGAGAGAGCUGCUGAAAAAUUAGCAGGGAGUGAGAGUCGUAAAUGAAAAUGAUCCAUCAUUCCUUUUUUUUUUUUUUUUACCAAUUUAAGAUGUGUAACAUGCU